GGUUCCAUUAUGUAAGGGUUAGCACUCUGGACUCUGAAUCCAGCUUUCCAAGUUCAAAUCUCAGUGGAACCU